GACGAACGCUGGCGGCGUGCCUAACACAUGCAAGUCGAGCGAGUGGAUCUCCUUCGGGAGUGAAGCUAGCGGCGGACGGGUGAGUAACACGUGGGCAACCUGCCUCAUAGAGGGGAAUAGCCUUUCGAAAGGAAGAUUAAUACCGCAUAAGAUUGUAGCUUCGCAUGAAGUAGCAAUUAAAGGAGCAAUCCGCUAUGAGAUGGGCCCCGCGGCGCAUUAGCUAGUUGGUGAGGUAACGGCUCACCAAGGCGACGAUGCGUAGCCGACCUGAGAGGGUGAUCGGCCACAUUGGGACUGAGACACGGCCCAGACUCUACGGGAGCAGCAGUGGGAAUAUGCACAAUGGGGAAACCCUGAUGCAGCAACGCCGCGUGAGUGAUGACGGCCUUCGGUUGUAAAGCUCUGUCUUCAGGACGA
rnacentral:rRNA from 1 species